rnacentral:rRNA from 1 species
GACGAACGCUGGCGGCGUGCUUAACACAUGCAAGUCGAGCGGUAAGGCCCUUUCGGGGGUACACGAGCGGCGAACGGGUGAGUAACACGUGGGUGACCUGCCUUUAGCUCUGGGAUAAGCCUGGGAAACUGGGUCUAAUACCGGAUACGACUCCGCGGUGCAUGCUGUGGGGUGGAAAGCCUUGUGCGGCUGGAGAUGGGCCCGCGGCCUAUCAGCUUGUUGGUGGGGUGAUGGCCUACCAAGGCGACGACGGGUAGCCGGCCUGAGAGGGCGACCGGCCACACUGGGACUGAGACACGGCCCACGACUCCUACGGGAGGCAGCAGUGGGGAAUCUUGCGCAAUGGGCGAAAGCCUGACGCAGCGACGCCGCGUGAGGGAUGACGGCCU